rnacentral:rRNA from 1 species
AUACGUAGGGAGCAAGCGUUAUCCGGAUUUAUUGGGUGUAAAGGGUGCGUAGACGGAGUAGCAAGUUGGUUGUGAAAUCCCUCGGCUCAACUGAGGCACUGCAACCAAAACUACUACCCUUGAGUGCUGGAGAGGAAAGUGGAAUUCAAUGUGUAGCGGUGAAAUGCGCAGAGAUAUGGAGGAACACCAGUGGCGAAGGUGGCUUUCUGGACUGUAACUGACGCUGAGGUGCGAAAGCGUGGGGAUAAGACGGGAGUAGAUCCCGUGGUAGACCACGCCGUAAACGAUGAGUGCUAAGUGUUAGGGGGUCUCCGCCCCUUAGUGCUGCAGCUAACGCAUUAAGCACUCCGCCUGGGGAGUACGGCCGCAAGGUUGAAACUCAAAUGAAUGGACGGGG